rnacentral:rRNA from 1 species
AUUGAACGCUGGAGGCAGGCCUAACACAUGCAAGUCGAACGGUAACAGGAAGCAGCUUGCUGCUUUGCUGACGAGUGGCGGACGGGUGAGUAAUGUCUUGGGAAACUGCCUGAUGGAGGGGGAUAACUACUGGAAACGGUAGCUAAUACCGCAUAACGUCGCAAGACCAAAGAGGGGGACCUUCGGGCCUCUUGCCAUCGGAUGUGCCCAGAUGGGAUUAGCUAGUAGGUGGGGUAACGGCUCACCUAGGCGACGAUCCCUAGCUGGUCUGAGAGGAUGACCAGCCACACUGGAACUGAGACACGGUCCAGACUCCUACGGGAGGCAGCAGUGGGGAAUAUUGCACAAUGGGCGCAAGCCUGAUGCAGCCAUGCCGCGUGUAUGAAGAAGGCCUUUCGGGUUGUAAAGUACUUUUCAGCGGGGAGGAAGGCGAUAAGGUUAAUAACCUUGUCGAUUGACGUUACCCGCAGAAGA